AGAUUUGUGCAGCGGCAGUACCGUAGCCGAUGAGGUUUAUCCGAGGCACGAUUGUUGCCAAUUGAAAACUAAGUACGGCUAGUGUAGUAGUUAACAGUGGGUUGAAACUGUAAGAUGAAUAAAGCAUAUGAAUGGUACCUGUAU
ensembl:snRNA U4 U4 spliceosomal RNA